rnacentral:rRNA from 1 species
AUGUGCGCCUCCACCUCCUCUUACAAUUCCCUACCACCUCCUGCCAUCUCCCUUCUCUGUUCUUCCCAAAUUCAUCCACGAAAUGAUGCUGCUCCAUGGACGCGAGUGCUCGUUCCCGGCAAGUCAGAGCACCUCCAUCCUUUCCCUUGCACCAGGAACUUCCCUUCCUCACCAUGGAUCCAUUCAGAGAAGAAAGACCGGGAUCCGUUGACCACACGCGAAGAAUUUCACAUGUGCGUCUACACCGUUCUUCAACUUCACCCACCGUUCCAUCCAACUCGAGUAGGGAGUGACGAUGUUGGAGAAGGACAUAAUCAGGUUAUCGAAGGACUCAACAAUGAAGAGUUACCUGGAGACGAAGAUGAUGACUACGACUACUAUGGCGAUCUGUAG